AUGAAUCUGAGAAAAAAGAGGAGAAGAAAAAAGAUACUAGAAAAUGAAAGUAAGUUAUCAACAUCAUGAGGAGAAUAGAACACUUGCAAGGUUCCAAAUGAGGGAGAUUAUCAAGAUAUGAUGUACAAUGGAGCUCUGCGAUGUUCUUGGCUAAGAAUAAGAAAUCACACUUACUACUCAGAAUUAGAUUGAUAGUAGAGCUGUUAUUGCUUUUAUAAAGCCCCUCCCAAAAGAGAUUUCUCAAAUCAAAAUGAUACAAACUUAAUGUGACCUGAUCGUACAAGGAUGGUGAAUUGGGAGGGGAGGAAUCUACCUAAUGACUUACAAAAGAACCAAGUUAUUCAUAUUCAAUUCUUUAUACCAAAAAUCCUGCAGUAUUAUUCAAUCCUGCAGUAUUAUUCAAUCCUGCAGUACCAAAGCAAAAACAGAAGCGUGGCUGGUCGGCUACCUGUGGGCAAAAUCAAAAUUCAUGUGACGAUUCAACUCCUACAACAACAAUUAAUAAUCUCUUUGAAGCUUUGAAUACCCUCCUCCAGCAUGAAACACGCUAAUCAAAACCCUCCC